rnacentral:rRNA from 1 species
GACGAACGCUGGCGGCGUGCCUAAUACAUGCAAGUAGAACGCUGAAGGAGGAGCUUGCUUCUCCGGAUGAGUUGCGAACGGGUGAGUAACGCGUAGGUAACCUGCCUGGUAGCGGGGGAUAACUAUUGGAAACGAUAGCUAAUACCGCAUAAGAGUAGAUGUUGCAUGACAUUUGCUUAAAAGGUGCAAUUGCAUCACUACCAGAUGGACCUGCGUUGUAUUAGCUAGUUGGUGGGGUAACGGCUUACCAAGGCGACGAUACAUAGCCGACCUGAGAGGGGGAGCGGCCACACUGGGACUGAGACACGGCCCAGACUCCUACGGGAGGCAGCAGUAGGGAAUCUUCGGCAAUGGACGGAAGUCUGACCGAGCAACGCCGCGGGAGUGAAGAAGGUUUUCGGAUCGUAAAGCUCUGUUGUAAGAGAAGAACGAGUGUGAGAGUGGAAAGUUCACACUGUGACGGUAUCUUACCAGAAAGGGACGGCUAACUACGUG